UACGGAGGGGGCUAGCGUUGUUCGGAAUUACUGGGCGUAAAGCGCACGUAGGCGGCUUUGUAAGUUAGAGGUGAAAGCCCGGGGCUCAACCCCGGAAAUGCCUUUAAGACUGCAUCGCUUGAAUCCAGGAGAGGUGAGUGGAAUUCCGAGUGUAGAGGUGAAAUUCGUAGAUAUUCGGAAGAACACCAGUGGCGAAGGCGGCUCACUGGCCUGGUAUUGACGCUGAGGUGCGAAAGCGUGGGGAGCAAACAGG
rnacentral:rRNA from 1 species